GUUACUCCAUCCUUACAGUCAGGCAAUCUUCGUUGUCAUGGCAACAGUAAACGCCAUGACAAUUGUAGUUACAGUUUUUAACAAACUGUCCCGACUCGCAGUUGGGAACACGACAGUCGUGGUUGGAAACUGGAAGCGAACAUCAGUCACCUGCAGCUAAGUCCACUUUUUGCCAUCUAUCUAUCUAGCCAUCCACCCUAUCCACCUCCUCCUAAUAUGGACAUUUGUCACCAUAUAUACAUCAUCUGAACUGCAUCACUUCUUCAGGUCAUAACUACUACUUACUACCAAUACUGUCGUUUUUCUUUUGAGGACGGGCUGGCAUUAGCUGAUCUUUUGGCCACUUGAGGGCUGCGGAAACUAGUAGUGAAAACAGCACUGAAAUAUCAUCACCUUUCAAGUUGAUGAGAAGAAAAGGCUUGUAGACGGGUAGAAGAAAGAGGAAGAAGAGGGAGAUGAAUGUACCUAUGCAGUAUGUUGGGUAAUUGAAUUGUUGAUGAAGGAGGGCAAGAGGAGGAGGAGGAGGGUUGAGACAAGUGGGAGAAGUGGCGGAAGGUGAACUGAAGAGGACAGAGAGGCGAGACUGUGAGUCCGGGUUCCCUUUGAAGUAAAAGAAGAAAAGCAAAGGAGGAAGGCAAGGAGUCUGUGUAUAGAAAGAAACAGUAAGUGAGGAAAAAGGUUAAAGAGUAGGAGAAGAAAUGAAGCAAGAAGUGGAGAGAGACUCAUAGAGAGAAGCAGAAGAAGCGACAGAGAGUAAAUUUGAGUUGACAAGAGGCAGAGGGAGGGGUGGGAAACAUCAAGGGAAAGAAGGGGGAGGGAAGGACAAAACAAGGAAGAUAAAGAUGUGAGAGGAUGCAGAGGUGAUGAAUGGAGAAGAGCGAGGCUUCUCAGCCGCAUACAUUCCAUCAUGAGGGUGAAGAGGUGAUUCACAGCCUUACAGGGAAACUGCAACAGGAUUGUGUUGGAGAGGAUGAAUGAUGAGAUGGAUGAGACGCUGAGAGACCAACAGACUUUCUUAAGGACGGAUACAGCGGAGAUAAAACUGAGACUGUCCUCACCAGGUAAAACGACAGUGCUGAUCAUUUGUUAAAAUGUGGAAAUGGACCUUUACUGUAUAACAAAAGUGGAAGUAGUGUGAUGUUAUACUGGUGCAACAAGUCUACAGUUAGAAUUAUUGUGGAAAAACUGAAAAUAAUUGUGUACACAGGGUGUUUUUUCCCUGUUUCGUCAUGUACUCAAGUUCCAAUUUGUUGAACUUUCAACGCUUUGUGAGAACAGUCAGAGGCUGAAGGCUACUGUUUGUGCUGUGAGACACAAUGAGAGAGAUAUUAAAAAGGUAUGUUUCUGAAUGUAUGAACUUACUAAUCAUCGUCAUUAGAUCCUACACACUCCCCUUCUCCCCCAUGAAUAAAUGCUGAACAAAGCCCAGAACCCUAGCUGAGCGAGGACAGUGAAGUAUUGUCCUUGGUUUACCUGCUUAUUAUUUUCUUACAUACAUACAUUUUUUAGCACAGAGAAUAGUGAAACAUGCUCAGAGCCCCAAGGUUAUGUUUUCAAAGUGUAUGUUAUGUACAACCAAAGUCCAAAGCCCAAGAAUAUUCAAUUUGUUGUCACAGAA